rnacentral:lncRNA from 9 species
AGAUCAUGUUCCUUUAUUUUUGCUUAAAAUUCUCAUUUUUAUCAUGCUUAUAAAUUCCUGUGCAACCUGUGCUUUUCCCUUUUUCCUAUCACAAUUUUUUCCAAAUUCCUAUCCUUUUACCUUCUUCCCCUGUCUCUCCAUUCUAGCUACACAGAAAACUCCAUGAAAACAAGCUUUGGCUUUGCUUACAAUCAUUGUUUAAAACAGUAUCUGGCAUUCUACUUCUAGUCCGAAUAACUGGCUUAAUAACACUUGUUCUGAGCCCAGCGCUGUUCUAUGUUCCUAGCAUGUAUGAUCUCAUUUAUUCCUCACAGGAACUGUAGAGGGCUGUGAUUAUGCUAAUUCUACAGCUAGACAACUGAGAAACCGACAGAGAAAGUAUGCACUCAAUACACAUUUGUUAUCUCAGUCAGGUAACGGCCACCGAGAGGGAACUCUGAGACAAGUUCUCUAACUUAAAAAAUAAGAUGGAUUUUGGUUCACAUAACUCAAGGGUCUUUUAUAUAAAAAAGAGGAAGAGCUGAGUAGGCGAGUACAUAAAAGUGUUAUUUAUACAUAGAGCCCCAUACAAAUUGUUCAGUUUCCCAAAUUCCAUUCAAUUGGUAAAACAUGACCAAAAUGUGACUUCCCAUCACUGACUGUUAUAAUGUCACCCCUUUUGGUCUGGUUCAGAGACCACCUUCUCCAGGAAGCCUUCCCUGAACUCCCAUCCUCUUCUGUUGCCCCUAUGUACAUAUUUCUGCCAUUGGGCUUUAAAGCCUCUUGUACAUUCCUUGUUUGCUUUUCUUCCUUCCUUAUCAGACUAGGAACCCUCUAAGGACAGAAGUUUUGUGCUAUUCAUCUCUAAAUUCCAAAAGCCAAGCACAUAGCAGGUGCCAAAUCCAUGCUUGUUAAAUGACUGCAUACCCCAACAGACACAUUAGGAGUAAUAUUUUUUAAAAAAUAUACUAUUUCAGCUGAACUGGGUGUUAAACUAUAUAUCCAGGAAAAACUUAGAUGGAAUAAAACAAAGGUCCUUUUUGGAUUAAUUAAUUACCCCAGGCUAAUGCCCUCCAUACAGAAACCUGUGAUAGCCUCCCUUGUAUUGUUUUAGUUGCUUUCCUGUAAACCCACACUGAAGUUCAAUUUCUGAUGAAAAUCAGAGAACAAACAAGAAUGUUACAAAUUUUGGAGAUGGAUAACCUGUUCUUAAACAUAAUAUCCACAACUCAAUUCAAAACAAAAUCAUGAUGAAGAGCCCCAAAACUAGAAAUGGCCUGAAUUACGCAUUAGCACAGCUGUGAAGGUAACUUUGCAGGCUUUGGUUUUUUGGCUUUUCAUUUAUUUCUGACUGCCGUAACUCUAGGUUUUUAUACUUCAGUUCAGUCCUAUAAGGCUAUUUCAAGCUUGUCAGAAUGUAAAGUCAAAAGAGUAUUACAGCGGUGAUUGGAGAGAACAUAAGAUUAAUUCGAAGUAGAAAGAAGGCAUUUUAUAAAUGAACGUGAAAUGCCUGGGGGCCUACCAAGAAUACCCGGCUGUGCACUAGUUUUUCAGCUCGGAUUUGCUGCACACAGCAUGCCAUGGCCUUGGGAGAAAACCCCACGUCAAAUGUCAUUGGAGCUGCUCAGCCACGCACAUAGAAAGGCACAUUGCAUCAAUGAUAUAUGACAACCCUGGUGGUGAUUUUUCCGCUUCACUGGCCAACUCGUCCAAAGUCUGGACAAGCCAACACACAAAUAGUUCCUAAAGAACUAGGCUGUCAGAAUCAUCUUUACAAGGCAGGGAGGAGGAUGCUUCUUUUAAUGAACAUUUCACAUUUCCAUGUAGCUGGGAAUGUCUAAACCACUAAAACAUCCAGAGAAGCACACACUGAACAACUGGGGAUGGAGGGAUGUUUCUAACAAAAAUACCAUCAGCUUGAUAUUCAUUCUAAUCCACUUCUCAUCAAUAUGUUUUGAGAGUGUAACCUCAUGCUUCAUCACCUUUUAAUCUAACAGCAUCUUAUAUUUCUAGAACCUGAUGAUAGAGGUGAUCCUGGCCCAAAAGUAGGAAAGAUGAUGGAGGUGUAACGCACACACAUCUUAUGCCAGGCAACUGUUAGGUUGUUUCUUCACACAUUUGAAUAGUUUCAUAAUAACGAUAAUGCUGCUGCUGGUGGUGGUAAAUUGAUCAUAGACGACUUUAUGGGUCUCAUUGUUCGUUUUCAGGCACUUUUCAAGUACUUCACCUGCAUUAUCUUGCUCAAUACUCUUAACACUGUAAGGUAGUUACAGGGAACUAGUUUUAUACCAGUUAGGCAAUCUGAUCCAUGUCAGACAGCUAGAAAGUGGAGGAUCUGGGAUUCAAACGAUGUGGGUCAUAUUUUGGGGCCCACAGUUUUCUCCUUAAUUUUAUCUUGUCCACUAAUUUUUAAAACUUAUUUCUGAGUUCUAACGUGUUCCCGCAGACAUGACCAAGGAUUUAGGGAAUGUUUAAUGUCCCCUUCUCAGGCUCAAAUUGACGUAUCUUGACUUUGGCUUAAACUUUGAAGUAAACAAAUGGGUCUAGGACUGAAAAUACAUUUGAAAACCACUUCCCUCUUCUCAACCAGUGAUUGCGUUAGAUGGAAAGAAAAGCUGAAGCCUGGAAAGGUGAAGGGUGGAGUCCGUAGUUAGAGCCCUGCUCCCAGGUAAUGGUAGUUCUGUGACGGGGACCCGGCUCCCCUGACUUAGGUCAGAUCUUUCCAGGCCCUCAGGAGCCCUCAGAAAGGUUCAUCCCAUUGAAAGGAAGAGGUCAAAACACCUCUGCACCCUCUACAGGGAAUACUUGCAGAAGGCUCCUGCCCUGGGGCUUGGUUAGCUGCAUUUUCAUCAUACGUGAAGUUCCAGAUUAUUUAAAAAUGAGAAGACACUGGUUUAAGGUUUUUAAGCAUUAGGUUCACUGUUGCAUUAUUUUCAUGCAUGUCCUGGGAACAUCCAUAUGCCAUGGGAGUGGCCCAAGAAAUAGCAACAGCAACAACAACAACAAAAGACCAAAAAGACAAAAAAAAAAAAAAAAAAAGAAUAGAUUUGAGCAUUGCAUUACAACACGUGCCCCAAUUUUUUCAGAUAUAUAUAGUUAAUAGUAUUUUUAAUAACUUUUUAUUAAGUUCCUACUACAUGUCAGGCAAUGCACUAAGUGCUUUACAUAGAUGGUCUAUUUUCAUCUUCACAAUGACCCUCAAAUAAAAAAGAUACUAACGCUUUGACUAUUUAGAGAUGAGAGUAUUCGUGGGCUGGAGGGGGGUAAGAUUAGGAGAGGAGCAGAAGUAGUGGAGAAGCCAGAAUUAGCUGCUGACUCUGCAGUCGACGUGCUUUUUCCCAGUGUUUCUCUGCCCAUUAAAUGAUAGUCAGGAGGUUAAGUUAGUUAAAACUGGGCAGUGAGUAACCAGUGAGUUAAAAAAAAAAAAAAAAAA